UACGAAGGGGGCUAGCGUUGCUCGGAAUCACUGGGCGUAAAGCGCACGUAGGCGGCUUCUUAAGUCAGGGGUGAAAUCCUGGAGCUCAACUCCAGAACUGCCUUUGAUACUGAGGAGCUUGAGUCCGGGAGAGGUGAGUGGAACUGCGAGUGUAGAGGUGAAAUUCGUAGAUAUUCGCAAGAACACCAGUGGCGAAGGCGCUCACUGGCCCGGUACUGACGCUGAGGUGCGAAAGCGUGGGGAGCAAACAGG
rnacentral:rRNA from 1 species